CCCACGAUCACACCCAUGCUCCUUACAGACAAGAGCUCACUAACACACACACAUAUGAUCCCUACAGACAAGCUCACUGACACACACACACACACACACACAGGCUCCCUCACUAGCAGGUGCGCACACACACACAGAGGCAGACAGUCACUGACACCGAGGCAAACAUCCACACAUACAGACAGGCAGACAGCCACACACACACAGGCAGACAGUCACACACACACACAGGCAGACAGUCACACACACACACAGGCAGACCGUUACACACACACAGUCACAC